UAAAGAGUCGAGCCUGCCCAGUGAUAUAUAUUUAACGGCCGCGGUACUUUGACCGUGCAAAGGUAGCAUAAUCAUUUGCCUUAUAAUUGAAGGCUAGUAUGAAUGGUUUGACGAAAACAACACUGUCUCUUUUUAAUUUUAUAGAACUUGAUUUUUAGGUGAAGAAGCCUAAAUAGAAUUGAAAGACAAGAAGACCCUAUCGAGCUUAAAAGAAUUUUGCUAAGAUAAGAUGACCAUAAAAGAUCAGUUAUAGUAAAAAAUUUUAGUUGGGGCGACUAUGGAACAAAAAAGCUUCCACUUUAAUAUUAAAGCAUGUUAGCUAUGAUCCAAAAUUUUUGAUUAAAAGAAUUAGUUACCGUAGGGAUAACAGCAUAAUCUUUUUUGAGAGUUCUUAUCGAAAAAAAGGUUUGUGACCUCGAUGUUGGACUAGAAUAUCCUAAAUGAUGCAGAAGUCUUUAAGGGUUGGUC
rnacentral:rRNA from 1 species